rnacentral:rRNA from 1 species
AUGACAUGGAGGCGAUCUACAAGGCGCGGGAGGAGGUCCAGCGGCGGGGCUUCAACUCCAGCAGGCCCCCUUUCGAUGGACGGGACCGCCCACGUCGCCGAUGACUCCCCGGAGGCCGGGGGCCUCCUCCUCCGAAUCCUCGACCGACUCGGCCUCCCGGCGCUCCCGUCCGCGGAAGGGGAUUCACCUGCCGGCGGCGCCGGCGACUGUUGUCCGCUCGGAGAGGAGAGGGAAGCGAAGGCGACGACAAGGGCGCUGGUGACGAUGUGCAGGACCUCGCACUGCCGCCGGGGAUGUUCUUCACGGCGGUUCUCUCCCAGCCAGAGGCUCAACAUCAGGGGCCGUGUCUACCUGGUGAUCCUCCCCGUCGACGACAACAAAGUCCCCGGAAAGGUUUGGAAGGGGAUCACUGAUGGGGAGCUCGAUGUGCUGGACACAUUUGAAGAUGAAGAGUAUGUGAGGGAAGUUGUUGGCAUCUCACUGACAAAUUUUGGGGCAUAUUUCAGUAGUAUCCGUUCAAGCACUGAACUGUACUACUAUGCUGCUUCUCCAUCACUUCUGGUUCGUGAAGGUCGAUGGCUCUGCCGACUUGAGGGAUCUCGGGUCGCCGUCGCCCUUUGGGAGCUCCCUCUCCUUCCUGCCUUCUUACCGUGGUGCCAGGGACCAACGGCCAGACGCCAGCACGACAGAGCUACUGUGCUGCUGCCUCAGGUUGUCCAGGCGCGUCAUCGGUCCCAGCCACCCAUCAUCAAGAUCCGACGUCCUUUGUCCUUUUCCCGAUUGACUUGGCAUGAGAGGCGCCUUGAUGCAAAGCUACAUGUUUACGUGGGUGCUGCUGGCCGCUGCCCCCUUGCCCCCUGGCAAGCAGGGUCGUCCAUGACCAGGGCCCCCAAGAUAAGGAGUAACAUGCUGCAGUUUCUGCCCACCACCAUUUUAGCACCAACGAUGGACUUUGUUUAUGUGGAGUACCAAUUUAGCAGCAACUCUGUUGUAACUUUGGCAACACAACCAGCAUCAAGUGUCACACUGGUAGUCCAGGGUCCACCAUGUAAAAACCGUUAUUGGCUCCUCAUAAACAAUGACAUCACUGAGAGCAAAACUGAUCAGAAAGACCUGCCAUGCAUUUGGAUAAUGGAUAACAUAACAAGGGAUCAGGUCGUGGACAAUAAUCUCACGAGGCAAGUGAUACAAGUGCACUUAUGUGCAUUAGGAGGAGGCAUCUUGAAGCACUUAUCCUCAAUGAGCCUUGAAUACAGUGUUCGGAGAUAUGCAUCGGAGGAGGGAGAGUGGAGGCGCAACAGCAUGGGAGGGUUUCCUCCUCCUCUUGGUCAGCCACCGUGGUACCGCUAA